GGCGGCAGUGGUGCAUGCCUGUAGUCCCAGCUACUCAGGAGGCUGAGGGGGCAGGACUGCUUGAGCCCAGGAGUUCUGGGCUGUAUGUGCUAUGCCGAUCAGGGUGUCUGCACUAAGUUUGGCAUCAAUAUGGUGGCCUCCCGGGAGCGGGGGACCAUCAGGUUGCCUAAGGAGGGUUGAACCGGCCCAGGUCAGAAACGGAGCAGGUCAAAACUCCUGUGCUGAUCAGUAGUGGGAUCGCGCCUGUGAAGAGCCACUGCACUCCAGCCUGGGCAACAUAGCAAGACCCAUCUCU
rnacentral:SRP_RNA from 1 species